UUGGCUCAGGAUGAACGCUGGCGGCACGCUUAACACAUGCAAGUCGAACGGAGAUAAAGGAGCUUGCUUCUUUAUCUUAGUGGCGGACGGGUGAGUAACACGUGAGCAACCUACCUUCAAGCGGGGAAUAAUGGAGGGAAACUUCCACUAAUACCCCAUAAGAUAGUAUUUCCGCAUGGAGAAGCUAUCAAAGAUUUAUUGUUUGAAGAUGGGCUCGCGUCCGAUUAGCCAGUUGGUGAGGUAACGGCCCACCAAAGCGACGAUCGGUAGCCGUACUGAGAGGUAGAACGGCCACAUUGGGACUGAGACACGGCCCAGACUCCUACGGGAGGCAGCAGUGGGGAAUA
rnacentral:rRNA from 1 species